CCUACGGGAGGCAGCAGUGAGGAAUCUUGGUCAAUGGGCGCGAGCCUGAACCAGCCAAGUAGCGUGAAGGAUGACUGCCCUACGGGUUGUAAACUUCUUUUAUAAAGGAGUAAAGUGAGGCACGUGUGCCUUUUUGUAUGUACUUUAUGAAUACGGAUCGGCUAACUCCGUGCCAGCAGCCGCGGUAAUACGGAGGAUCCGAGCGUUAUCCGGAUUUAUUGGGUUUAAAGGGAGCGUAGAUGGGUUGUUAAGUCAGUUGUGAAAGUUUGCGGCUCAACCGUACAAUUGCAAUUGAUACUGGCAGCCUUGAGUACAGUUGAGGUAGGCGGAAUUCGUGGUGUAGCGGUGAAAUGCUUAGAUAUCACGAAGAACACCGAUGGCGAAGGCAGCUUACUAAACUGCCACUGACAUUGAUGCUCGAAAGUGUGGGUAUCAAACAGGAUUAGAUACCCUUGUAGUC
rnacentral:rRNA from 1 species